rnacentral:lncRNA from 10 species
GUAGUCUUAUUAUCCAGUUAAAGCUUCCCAGUUAAUCUCCUGGAGCUGCCCUCAGAAGAAUAGAUGGAAAGUCUGUUUAGGAUAGAAAAAGAUUAUAAAGUAUCACCAAAGUUCUGAAAUGGAAGUCUUAAUGGAAAGGACUGCUUCUUUACCCAGGAAGAGGCCGCUGCCUUGUUUUGAGCUGCCCUAUGGAGAGUCUCAGUGGCGAGGAAUUGAGGACAGACUUCUGUACGGACCUGAGGUCAUCAUUCCAACAACACAUGAAGAGCUGAAUCCUGACAACAACUUCAUUGGUAAGCUUGGAAGUGGAUUUUCCCCCAAACAGGCCUUGAGGUGACCACAGCCCUGGCUGACUGCAGCCUUGUGAAAUACCCUGAGACAGAAGACCCAGCUCAGCCACACCUGAACUCCUGACCCACAGAACCUGCUAUAAUAAAUGUUGUUUUGGCUAUUACGUUUUGGAGUGAUUUAUUAUUAGAUAACUAAUACGUAUGCAUUUGGGAAAGUAAAGGCCUAAGAGUAUAUGGAAGUGGAAUUGUUUGGCCAUAAUCUAUGCAUACGUUCAGCUUUAAUAUAUACCACUAAAUUGUUUUCAAAAGCAGUCAUUGUCAUGUACACUCCCAACAGCAGUGUGUGAGAGUUUUUAUUGAGUUCUACUGAAUGAUCUUUGUUAUUAAGCUUUUAGUAUAUGCCAGCCACUAAGUGCCUUACAUGUGCUGUUUCAUUUAAUCUUCACAACAGUUCAGUGAGGUGGGUAUUACUGUUUUCUCCAUUUUCAGAUUAAGUGAACCUGCCCCUGUCAUUUACUAAAAAGAGGCAAGCCAGGAUUUUAACCCAUGUCCAAUGCUCUUAGCCAUUAAGCCUCUCCUGAGACAGAUUUCAAUGCAAUUAUAGCCACAGAGAAAACACAUGUGAAAAAUAACCAUCAUAGCGCACUAAAGGAAGAGCAGCAUUUCAUCUUGUGCAUAAGUUAACCAUCAGCACUGCACAGGGCUGAUGAGGAGAAGAGGCUUCCAGACGGAGUUAGCAAAGGAAGAAAGAUAGGCAAUUUGGAAGGAGGGAAAGGAUGGCCCAGGAAGGCUGGGAGGUAAAGAAUAUGCAAGCAAGGUCAAGAGCUCUAUGCAUUUGGCUCACUCUGCCCUCUGCAUUUCCAGCCUCAUGCAGCGAUGUCAUCCUUAGCAGUGAGUUGUCUACUUUUUCCGUAGCUCUCCCCAGAAUAACACAGACCCCAGGGUCUUAAAUGAAGGAGUGAUUUUUCCAGAUAUUUCACCUUUCCCAAGGGAGAACACUACUCAGUUGUCUCUCCUUGGAACUCCUUCUUUUGCUGUUUAUUGUUUCUGAGUGUGAUUUUUUCCUUUCUUCCUCAUUCCGCUGGUGCUUGUCACCACUCUGAUGGGAAUUCCUCUUAAAAUGCCGGCAGUCUCUUUGAUAAGCCUCGCCUUGCAGACCUAAGGUAAACUCCUGGAAGGAUGCCCUGAACCUCUGGCUGUCUACCCACCUUCCACAACCCACAAAUGGAGUGUUUCUGUGUACA